rnacentral:rRNA from 1 species
GGGUAAUGGGCGGGUGCUACACAUGCAGUCGAACGAGAAAGUGGAGCAAUCCAUGAGUAAAGUGGCGACCGGGUGAGUAACACGUGACUAACCUACCUUUCAGUGGGGAAUAACCUCGGGAAACCGGGGCUAAUACCGCAUAAUGUCUUCGGACCAAAGGAGCAAUUCGCCGGAAGAGGGGGUCGCGGCCGAUUAGCUAGUUGGCGGGGUAACUGCCCACCAAGGCAAUGAUCGGUAGCCGGCCUGAGAGGGCGCACGGCCACACUGGAACUGAAACACGGUCCAGACUCCUACGGGAGGCAGCAGUGGGGAAUUUUGCGCAAUGGGGGAAACCCUGACGCAGCAACGCCGCGUGGAGGAUGACGCCCCUUGGGGUGUAUACUCCUUUCGAUUUGGAUUAUGAUGACCCUUGAUGAUGAAGUUCCUCCUGAUUUCUCUGCAU